AUUUCAGAAACCGCGAAUCGCCUUACUGGGAAAAGGAAUCCGUGUACACGCCUUAUUAGUAACAAAGACUAAAUCGAGGCUUCCGAUCGGAAGGUGGUCAAGUGUCCUUAUUAUGUAAUCCAGGCGAGUAUUUUGGUGAGAGGUGUUCAGAUAGGUCCAAGGUCAGUAGAAGAUGGUGAAAAAAGGAGCCUCAAAUGCCACACUGCUACAAUUCCCACAUAAAGAACGAUAUUUAGGCACUGAAAACUCCAGCAAUUUUGGAGGAAGAGCAUUUGCCAAUAAAAAAGUGACGGUGUAUUCCAGCUGUCCAAAGUUCUGAACGCAUAAAUCCGUCUUAAACACUACGACUGGACAGUGACUCCUAACUACCGCUUACUGGGUGCCUGGAUGGGUCUUCCAUCAAAGACAUAGAUUUGAGUGACCAGCGCCUGCAUCCAUGUCAAGAUUGUCUUGCUUGUCGAAGUUUGUCUUCUAGUUAAUUUACAGGGUUGCCG